CUUGUGUCCUUUCUGUCAUCCUGUGAACCCCAGUUGCUGCUUGCAACUAUGUUAUUUAUUUCUUGUUCUUACACUGAGUUCAGAGAGAACAUCAGAAGAGACCAGAGUCUGAUAUUCCCGGUGUUCAGUCUGCUCAGAAUUGUCCAGUGGACCUGUCCUCAAUAUUCAGGUCACGUGAGGAUGAUGUAACUUUUGUGAGGGAUGAGCUGAAAAAAAACUGCAUUGUUGGUUAAGGGUUGUAAAAGUUUCAGUGUGUGUUUGAGAGAGUAGCUGAGCAAGGAAACCCAACACUUCUAAAUAAGAUUUACACAGAGCUCUACAUUACAGAGAGUGAAAGUGGAGAGGUCAACAUCAAGUGAGACAGCAUCAAAGAAACCAGCGACACAGAUGCCUGCAGACUCAGAUUGGACCCAGUGACAGCGUGCACACUCCUCUUUCUGUAUGAGAACAGAAUAUUUACAUUGUUGGGAGAGGAGCAGCCAUAUCCUGACCAUCCAGAAAUGUUUGAGCACUCACAAUAUGCUGUGUAGAGAGUCUGACUGGAUGCUGCUCCUGGGUGACAGAGUGAAGAGGAUGGGCUCAUGUAGGAGUGACAUAUGAAAGAAUCAGAAGGAAAGGAGAGCAUGAUGACCAUCUCCACUAUGACGCAUCCUGGAUUCUUAAGUGCCCUGGUGGCAAUUAUACUGCCUGUCAUAAUAGGAAGAAUUCUGACAUGCAUGUCUUCUACUCUCGCUCCGACACAGUAGGAGUGUAUCUGGACAGAGUCUAUUGUAACACAUUGAUCCACCUGCACACAUAAUACCCGACAGUCACUGAGCCUCUCUACCCAGGGGUUUGGUUUGGCGUUCACUCCUCAGUGUCCCUGUGCCAAGUAGAACUCUGCGUCCUGUGUCCAGAAGGAACACCUUCAGGAAAGUUACACUCCUGUUCAAACACAACUGUGGGACAUGAUGGGGCACUUUUGGCUUUCAUCAUGGCAGACAGCGGAGCGUUGUACUUGUCUAGUCCAUUCAGUGCAGAUUUGAAUAACCCCUACAUUUUUCUAGAGACAUGGGUUGGACACGUAGCCUCGGGAAGUACGGGUGCUGAAGGUGCUGCAGCACCCCCUGGUAGUGAGAUUGUAAAACUGUAAGAAUUUGUGUCGCAAUAAAAAACGAUUAAACCAUUUUUCUGCUGUAUUAUUGAUAUAAAUAAUAAUUGGAUUGGGGUAGGGGAGAGAAAAAAACAUUUGAUAUUUAUAUAUGGGGCCCAUUCCGCAUGGAGAGCUCUCAUCUCUGUUUUGUAAUCGGUUUGCUCGUGAUAUUCUGGUGAAGCUGUGGG
rnacentral:lncRNA from 1 species